rnacentral:ncRNA from 1 species
AGCGCCGUGUGCGAUGAAAGUCGCACGCACGGUGCGGAGAAGGGGAAAAGGCGGUGAUCGUAUCAAACCCUUACCUAUUUCUAUU